rfam:Brochothrix thermosphacta DSM 20171 = FSL F6-1036 c6, whole genome shotgun sequence.
CACAAAUAGUAUUUAGAAUACAAAAAUGGAAGUUUGGUGUAAAUCCAACGCGGUCCCGCCACUGUGAUAAGUACAUUGUGCUUUAAGUCAGGUCUUUGAUUGUAUUCUGCUAUUGCGGACUGUUUCGUGGUAAAACAGGCUGUUUUUC